GGAUUGUAGCCUGAAACUCGGCUACAUGAAUAAGGAAUUACUAGUAAUCGUGAAUCAGCGCGUCACGGUGAAUUUUACAUCAGAUAGGUACUUACUACUCGUCAGGCACUGAAAUUAGUAUGCGCAAUAAGUUUGGCGAAUUAUUGUUUUUUUUUUAAUAAAAAAAUAUUUAAUAUUACAAUAGCUAGUUUUCGUAUGCGUGACUUUAAUUGGUGUUAAGUCGA
rnacentral:ncRNA from 1 species